rnacentral:rRNA from 1 species
GACGAACGCUGGCGGCGUGCUUAACACAUGCAAGUCGAACGAUGAAGCGGUGCUUGCACCGUGGAUUAGUGGCGAACGGGUGAGUAAUACGUGAGUGACCUGCCCUUGACUCUGGGAUAAGCCUGGGAAACUGGGUCUAAUACUGGAUACGACCAUCAGAUGCAUGUCUUGGUGGUGGAAAGGGUUUGUACUGGUUUUGGAUGGGCUCACGGCCUAUCAGCUUGUUGGUGGGGUAAUGGCUUACCAAGGCGACGACGGGUAGCCGGCCUGAGAGGGUGACCGGCCACACUGGGACUGAGGCACGGCCCAGACUCCUACGGGAGGCAGCAGUGGGGAAUAUUGCACAAUGGGCGCAAGCCUGAUGCAGCGACGCCGCGUGAGGGAUGACGGCCUUCGGGUUGUAAACCUCUUUCAGCAGGGAAGAAGCUUUUGUGACGGUACCUGCAGAAGAAGCGCCGGCUAACUACGUGCCAGCAGCCGCGGUAA